UACGGGGGGAGCAAGCGUUGUUCGGAUUUACUGGGCGUAAAGGGCGGGUAGGCGGCCACCGCAAGUCGACUGUGAAAUCUCCGGGCUUAACCCGGAAAGGUCAGCCGAUACUGCGGGGCUAGAGUGCAGAAGGGGCAACUGGAAUUCUCGGUGUAGCGGUGAAAUGCGUAGAUAUCGUAAGGAAGACCAGUGGCGAAGGCGGGUCUCUGGACAGUUCCUGACGCUGAGGCACGAAGGUCAGGGGAGCAAACGGG
rnacentral:rRNA from 1 species